UGCUUUGAUGUUACUACAACCUGGAUG
rnacentral:piRNA from 1 species